UUUCUUUCUCUUUGCAGGCUUCAUUUUCUUGGGCUUCCCUACCUGGCCAGACUCACGAUCCAGAAGGACAGUCUCAGUUCAGCCAGUUCCUGCCAAGGAAUCCUGGGGAAGGCUGGUGACUGAUCCAGCUGUCAUAUGAUUGCUCUGUGUGGUGACAUGGACUCAUCCCAGGACAAGCAGGUGGUGGAAUGUGGAAGGACUGUGAGAAUAUCCUUGAACUCCACUUGGCACUUCCACGGAUUGGCCGAUGAGGCAGAUGAAUGAGGAAGCAGACUCGUCAGAGCAAGAACACAGUCUGGAAGCAUGGUCCUGAUGCUGGAAUAGAGAGGAUUUCUGAUAACCUGGAAUAUUUGCAAGAGCUCAGCAACACUCCAAGAAUUGAUUCUUACUUUCCACUUAAAAAAAAAAAAAGCAAUUUCCAUACUCCUGGGCAUAUGUGAUGUUUUUCCUGGUGGUUGGUGAGUACGGAUAGUUU
rnacentral:lncRNA from 1 species